rnacentral:rRNA from 1 species
GUUGUCCGACUCUGUUGCCUCCGGGGCGACCCUGCCUUCGGGCGGGGGCUCCGGGUGGACACUUCAAACUCUUGCGUAACUUUGCAGUCUGAGUAAACUUAAUUAAUAAAUUAAAACUUUUAACAACGGAUCUCUUGGUUCUGGCAUCGAUGAAGAACGCAGCGAAAUGCGAUAAGUAAUGUGAAUUGCAGAAUUCAGUGAAUCAUCGAAUCUUUGAACGCACAUUGCGCCCCCUGGUAUUCCGGGGGGCAUGCCUGUUCGAGCGUCAUUUCACCACUCAAGCCUCGCUUGGUAUUGGGCAACGCGGUCCGCCGCGUGCCUCAAAUCGACCGGCUGGGUCUUCUGUCCCCUAAGCGUUGUGGAAACUAUUCGCUAAAGGGUGUUCGGGAGGCUACGCCGUAAAACAACCCCAUUUCUAAGGUUGACCUCGGAUCAGGUAGGGAUACCCGCUGAACUUAAGCAUAUCA